CGCUGCUAUCUUCCAAGGCGGCGCCGCCCGGUCCAAGCGGCGAGGAGGACGACGGGGCUCUGGUGCUGGCGGAGGCUCUGC
rnacentral:SRP_RNA from 1 species